AGGCACCUGGGGAGGGGUGGGAGCAGUACCCUGGUGCUCAAUAAGUGUGGGCAUUUUUAUGCUGGAACCCGCACAAGGGAGGUUUUUCUGUGUCUUCCUCCAAAAAGUGGGGAUUAUAUCUCUCUGAGCCAUCAGGACUGCUGGGAUAUGAGCUGUAGCCAACAUCCAGGAUUGCAAAUUGCACAGACACACUCCAAUCAUGGACAGCUGGAACACUGCAGGUCUAAACACUGAGAUGGCAGCAGACUGGAGAGCUGCAACAACUUCACUGGAGUGAGAAAAAUCUCUUCAGACUGCAGCAUUCUGGUGUCUGUGCUCCACUGCCACGUUCCUGCAGCCCAUGGCUCCUAUGCCAUAUGGCAAAACACUCUGUCCAGAGCUAUAAACCAUCCCAAUUACACUGAUUAACUCUAUGGAAAGACACCAGCACUUGGAACAUUUGCUGACGCUGCCUGGACAGAGCAGUAAGAAAAUAAUAAAUGACUAGACAAUUGGCUGGGGGGAGGAGAAAUCUGCAUGUUGUAUAUAGUUGGGAAUAGCACAGGGAGACCAAUAAAUUGUAUGAGAAUAUGGGAAUAA